rnacentral:rRNA from 1 species
AGAGUUUGAUCCUGGCUCAGGAUGAACGCUGGCGGCGUGCUUAACACAUGCAAGUCGAACGGUUCUAGCAAUAGGACAGUGGCGCACGGGUGAGUAACACGUAGCUAACCUGCCCUCAAGCGCGGGAUAACGUUCCGAAAGGAAUGCUAAUACCGCAUAAGCUCCCGAUCUGUAGAGGGUUGGGAGAAAGGCGAAAGUCACUUGAGGAGGGGGCUGCGACCCAUCAGCUAGUUGGGGAGGUAAUAGCUCACCAAGGCGACGACGGGUAGGGGGCCUGAGAGGGUGGCCCCCCACACUGGGACUGAGACACGGCCCAGACUCCUACGGGAGGCAGCAGUGAGGAAUAUUGCACAAUGGGGGAAACCCUGAUGCAGCGACGCCGCGUGGGUGAUGAAGGUUUUCGGAUCGUAAAGCCCUUUUCUGCAUGACGAGCAAAGGACGGUAGUGCAGGAAUAAGUGUCGGCUAACUACGUGCCAGCAGCCGCGGUAAAACGUAGGACACAAGCGUUAUCCGGAAUUACUGGGCGUAAAGGGAGUGCAGGCGGUUUCGUAAGUUAGGCGUGAAAGACUUCGGCUAAACCGGGGGAGGUCGUCUGAUACUGCGGAACUAGAGUAUGGUAGAGGCGUGUAGAAUUCCGGGUGUAGUGGUGAAAUGCGUAGAGAUCCGGAGGAAUACCAGUGGCGAAGGCGGCACGCUGGGCCAUAACUGACGCUAAGACUCGAAAGCAUGGGUAGCGAACGGGAUUAGAAACCCCGGUAGUCCAUGCCGUAAACGAUGUACACUGGAUGUUCAGUCGGGGAAGCCUGACGGGGCGUCCAAGCUAACGCGCUAAGUGUACCGCCUGGGGAGUACGGUCGCAAGGCUAAAACUCAAAGGAAUUGACGGGGGCCCGCACAAGCAGCGGAGCGUGUGGUUUAAUUCGAGCCUACACGAAGAACCUUACCUGGGUUUGACAUAUAGGUAGUAGGGAAACGAAAGUGGACCGACCUUCGGGAGCCUAUACAGGUGCUGCAUGGCUGUCGUCAGCUCGUGUCGUGAGAUGUUCGGUUAAGUCCGAAAACGAGCGCAACCCUCGGGAGUAGUUACAAGUGUCUACUCCGACUGCCCGUGACAAACGGGAGGAAGGUGGGGAUGACGUCAAGUCAGCAUGGCCUUUAUAUCCAGGGCUACACACACGCUACAAUGGUCGGUACAAUAGGUAGCGAAGCUGCGACGCGGAGCCAAUCCAGAAAAGCCGAUCGUAGUUCGGAUUGCAGGCUGCAACUCGCCUGCAUGAAGCUGGAGUUGCUAGUAACCGCAGGUCAGCUAUACUGCGGUGAAUACGUUCCCGGGCCUUGUACACACCGCCCGUCACGUCAUGGGAGCUGGUCACGCCUGAAGUCGGGAAGCUAACCGCAGGGAGGCUACCGCCGAGGGCAGGGCUGGUGACUGGGACGAAGUCGUAACAAGGUA